rnacentral:rRNA from 1 species
GAUGAACGCUGGCGGCGUGCUUAACACAUGCAAGUCGAGCGAAGCGYUAAAGCGGAUUUCUUCGGAUUGAAGUUUUAGUGACUGAGCGGCGGACGGGUGAGUAACGCGUGGGUAACCUSCCUCAUACAGGGGGAUAACAGUUGGAAACGGCUGCUAAUWCCGCAUAAGCGCACAGUACCGCAUGGUACGGUGUGAAAAACUCCGGUGGUAUGAGAUGGACCCGCGUCUGAUUAGGUAGUUGGUGGGGUAACGGCCUACCAAGCCGACGAUCAGUAGCCGACCUGAGAGGGUGACCGGCCACAUUGGGACUGAGACACGGCCCAAACUCCUACGGGAGGCAGCAGUGGGGAAYAYUGCACAAUGGGGGAAMCCCKGAKGCAGCGACGCCGCGUGAGCGAAGAAGUAUUUCGGUAUGUAAAGCUCUAUCAGCAGGGAAGAAAAUGACGGUACC